GACGGGGACCCGCACAAGCAGAGGAGCGCGUGGUUUAAUUCGACGGCAAUCGAAGAACCUUACCAGGUUUGAAAUGUAUCUGCAUGCCUAUGAAAUAGGGAGGCCUUCGAGGUGAUACACAGGUGCUGCAUGGCCGCCGUCAGCUCGUGUCGUGAGAUGUUGGGUUAAGUCCCGCAACGAGCGCAACCCUUGCCAUUAGUUGCUACGAAAGGGCACUCUAAUGGGACUGCCGGUGACAAACCGGAGGAAGGUGGGGAUGACGUCAAGUCCUCAUGGCCCUUAUAGGUGGGGCUACACACGUCAUACAAUGGCCGGUACAGAGGGUAGCCAACCCGCGAGGGGGAGCCAAUCCCACAAAGCCGGUCGUAGUCCGGAUCGCAGUCUGCAACUCGACUGCGUGAAGUCGGAAUCGCUAGUAAUCGCGGAUCAGCAUGUCGCGGUGAAUACGUUCCCGGGUCUU
rnacentral:rRNA from 1 species